rnacentral:lncRNA from 1 species
GGCUCUUGCAUCUUACCACUGCUGUGAGAACAUGGCUGGACAGCCUUCUGAAGGAUGAGAGGCACACGGAGCAGAGCCAAGUUUCUCCCGUCACCCCAUCCAAAUUCAACUACAUCAGCCAAGGUCAGCCAACAUCAGCCAGCAAUGAUGGAACCCCCCAGACAUAUUGAUUAAACGGGAAGGAUGCACUCGGGUGGCAUAAAGGAGGAGAAGCUCUUUCCUUAACCACACACGGGGUGGAAAGAACGCCUUGUCCAGAAGCCGAAGGACACUGAGGCUCUAAACUCCUGCUGUGUGGGCUGCAGCAGGCCACUGCUCUUCUCUGACCCUCAGUUUCUUCAUCUGUAAAACUGGAACAUGAUGCCCCACUGGAAGGCUAUCGUGAGGGCUGGACACGGCGAUGUAAAUUGAGGGCCAAGCGUGGAGCCGGCAUAGAGUGGACACUAAAAUACACCAGGCUGUUUCAUUUGGCAAAAGGGGUUCAAUUCUGUCUUUUAAACUCAUGCACUUUGGCAUAUUUGGCUUCUAAAUAUGCAGUGAGGCAGGAAGAGCAAUGAGUCUGGAAGCCAGAGAUUCUCGUGCAUCCAUUCUCUCCUCUGUCUCAGCUUUGCAUUGUACCUUGGGUGAGCCAUUGCACCUCCCUGACCCUCUGUGUCUUCAUCUACCAGACAGAAAAAAUUACACUUACUCCUAAACCAUAAUGUUUGGCAAGACCCAGUGAACCUCACAAAGCACCCCCAAAAGGCAGGCAGGAUGAGGAGUUCUCCCUGUUGAGCUGUGUGAGCUGCCCAGAUUGAUAUGCCUAGAAGGCACCCCAUUUGGAAGUAAACACAGGCUCCAUUUAAGGAUGCACGGAAGGUUGGAACACUUUAUUCCUGAACACAUUUAUGUAAAAUUAAUUGCAUCACCUGUUCUCUGCAUCUUCUAAUUGCAAAACCAAUUAACUUUAAAAUGCUCAGCACAGUGUGGCCAAGGGAAGGGAAGGCAAAGACCAGGCUGGCUUUGCAAACUCUGUGCCAUUUGUAGUGGCCACAGUGGCCCUAGGAAGUCCCAGCCAUUCCCAUCUGCUGGCCGAGGAGGCCCUGUGGGAUGCUGGGAGACUCUAGGAGAUGAGCAAGACCCUCAGAGUCUGGGGCUGGAAACUUCCUAGCACAAGUGAGCUGAGUGGUCAUGGGCCAGGUGAUGGAGUGGACAUUCCCCAGUGGUGGCCAGAAUGACCCAAUAUCAACUGCCCCUCCACCCAGCACCCCCAUUCCCUUUACCCUGUAUUUUGUUCCCCUCUGCCAUUUUCACUGCCCGACUGGCUGUGUAGCUAUUUGUUUAUCAUGUUUCUCCUCAGUAAAAUGUUGACUCCACAAAGACAUGUCUAUUGCACCUCCUGCUGUGUGCCUGGGACCUAGAACAGUGCCUGGCACAUAGUAGGUGCUCAGACAAAUGAAUGAAUGAAUGAAUGAAUGAAUGAAUGAAUGAAUGAAUGAACUAAUGGACUUCAGCUCAUUGUGAGAUGGGA